GAUGAACGCUGGCGGCGUGCCUAAUACAUGCAAGUCGAGCGAACGGACGAGAAGCUUGCUUCUCUGAUGUUAGCGGCGGACGGGUGAGUAACACGUGGAUAACCUACCUAUAAGACUGGGAUAACUUCGGGAAACCGGAGCUAAUACCGGAUAAUAUUUUGAACCGCAUGGUUCAAAAGUGAAAGACGGUCUUGCUGUCACUUAUAGAUGGAUCCGCGCUGCAUUAGCUAGUUGGUAAGGUAACGGCUUACCAAGGCAACGAUGCAUAGCCGACCUGAGAGGGUGAUCGGCCACACUGGAACUGAGACACGGUCCAGACUCCUACGGGAGGCAGCAGUAGGGAAUCUUCCGCAAUGGGCGAAAGCCUGACGGAGCAACGCCGCGUGAGUGAUGAGGGUCUUCGGAUCGUAAAACUCUGUUAUUAGGGAAGAACAUAUGUGUAAGUAACUGUGCACAUCUUGACGGUACCUAAGCAGAAAGCCACGGCUAACUACGU
rnacentral:rRNA from 1 species